ACAACUUUCAGCAACGGAUCUCUUGGCUCUCGCAUCGAUGAAGAACGCAGCGAAAUGCGAUAAGUAGUGUGAAUUGCAGAAUUCAGUGAAUCAUCGAAUCUUUGAACGCACCUUGCGCUCCUUGGUAUUCCGAGGAGCAUGCCUGUUUGAGUGUCAUUA
rnacentral:rRNA from 1 species